rnacentral:rRNA from 1 species
CGUUGUCCGGAAUCAUUGGGCGUAAAGAGCGUGUAGGCGGCCCGGUAAGUCCGCUGUGAAAGUCCAGGGCUCAACCCUGGGAUGCCGGUGGAUACUGUCGGGCUCGAGUCCGGAAGAGGAGUGUGGAAUUCCUGGUGUAGCGGUGAAAUGCGCAGAUAUCAGGAGGAACACCAAUGGCGAAGGCAGCACUCUGGGACGUGACUGACGCUGAGACGCGAAAGCGUGGGGAGCAAACAGG